AGAUACAUCAGCUUGAUGUUCACUGCCAUUCUAAAGCUCUCUGCAUUCUUUGUGAAAAGGUUUUGAUGGUGUAAGAAAAUAAGAAAGCCACAUCUUCAAAAUGCAGCUUCUGAAACCAGAUAAAAGCUUGAAUUCCACUUGGAGAGGCUGAUCCACAGGGGCAAAUGCAAAAGGAAGGUGCUCAAGGCCUGUGUCCUGGGAUGCUGAGGAAAGAAACUAUCACUCACAGCUCAUACCUGAACAACAGAAUGAACUCUUUCAUCCCGACAAAGAAAGAUUACUUGACAGAACCAGAGAGUGUAUCCACAAUCCUGACUGUGAAAGAAGGACUUUGAUACAGUUUGAUUAUUUUUUUUCUUCGUGCAGAAACUCUAUUUCAGUUUCAGAGGACUCUUUAUUUUGUUUUGAUUCUUUUCCUUUUGUGUAUCUUGGUCAAUAAAUGUCCAAACUUUGGCACCAAUUUUUCAUUUUGUUUGUCAUGGCAACUGAGUAGGCAGACAUUCUUAUUCUUCAGAUCCUGAACCUUGUUUCUCAGGUGUUGUUCAGUAAUGUAAACACCUUUGACAUCCUGGGCUCAAUUAUUCUAUCAAUAUUAAUACUACAUAGUCUUAUUAAUUACUGUUUGCAACAACUAAUAAGCAAUGUUAUUACAACUCCAAGCUGUAGAUUUUCUGUCCCUAGUUCCAGUAGAGCCGAACCCCAAUUCAUAAAAAUGAUCUCUAUCUCUAUCUCUA
rnacentral:lncRNA from 1 species